rnacentral:rRNA from 1 species
AACACAUGCAAGUCGAGCGGUAAGGCCCCUUCGGGGGUACACGAGCGGCGAACGGGUGAGUAACACGUGAGCAACCUACCCUCAACUUUGGGAUAAGCCUCGGAAACGGGGUCUAAUACCGGAUAAUACUGACCGUCUCCUGGUGGUUGGUUGAAAGUUCUGGCGGUUGGGGAUGGGCUCGCGGCCUAUCAGCUUGUUGGUGGGGUAAUGGCCUACCAAGGCGUCGACGGGUAGCCGGCCUGAGAGGGCGACCGGCCACACUGGGACUGAGACACGGCCCAGACUCCUACGGGAGGCAGCAGUGGGGAAUAUUGCGCAAUGGACGAAAGUCUGACGCAGCAACGCCGCGUGAGGGAUGACGGCCUUCGGGUUGUAAACCUCUUUCAGCAGGGACGAAGCGAGAGUGACGGUACCUGCAGAAGAAGGACCGGCCAACUACGUGCCAGCAGCCGCGGUAAUACGUAGGGUCCGAGCGUUGUCCGGAAUUAUUGGGCGUAAAGGGCUCGUAGGCGGUUCGUCACGUCGGGAGUGAAAACUCGGGGCUUAACCCCGAGCCUGCUUCCGAUACGGGCAGACUAGAGGUAGGCAGGGGAGAGCGGAACUCCUGGUGUAGCGGUGGAAUGCGCAGAUAUCAGGAAGAACACCGGUGGCGAAGGCGGCUCUCUGGGCCUUACCUGACGCUGAGGAGCGAAAGCGUGGGUAGCGAACAGGAUUAGAUACCCUGGUAGUCCACGCCGUAAACGUUGGGCGCUAGGUGUGGGGG